AUGACGAAGUUUGUGACUGAGCGGCGGACGGGUGAGUAACGCGUGGGCAACCUGCCCUGUACAGGGGGAUAACAGUUAGAAAUGACUGCUAAUACCGCAUAAGCCCACAGCUUCGCAUGAAGCAGUGGGAAAAACUCCGGUGGUACAGGAUGGGCCCGCGUCUGAUUAGCUAGUUGGUAAGGUAACGGCUUACCAAGGCGACGAUCAGUAGCCGACCUGAGAGGGUGACCGGCCACAUUGGGACUGAGACACGGCCCAAACUCCUACGGGAGGCAGCAGUGGGGAAUAUUGCACAAUGGGGGAAACCCUGAUGCAGCGACGCCGCGUGAGCGAUGAAGUAUUUCGGUAUGUAAAGCUCUAUCAGCAGGGAAGAAAGUGACGGUACCUGACUAAGAAGCCCCGGCUAACUACGUGCCAGCAGCCGCGGUAAUACGUAGGGGGCAAGCGUUAUCCGGAUUUACUGGGUGUAAAGGGAGCGUAGACGGAAGUGCAAGUCUGAAGUGAAAGCCCGGGGCUCAACCCCGGGACUGCUUUGGAAACUGUAUUUCUAGAGUGCUGGAGAGGUAA
rnacentral:rRNA from 1 species